rnacentral:rRNA from 1 species
GAUGAACGCUGGCGGCGUGCUUAACACAUGCAAGUCGAACGGAAAGGCUCCUGCUUGCAGGGGUACUCGAGUGGCGAACGGGUGAGUAACACGUGGGUGAUCUGCCCUGCACUUCGGGAUAAGCCUGGGAAACUGGGUCUAAUACCGGAUAGGACGAUGGUUUGGAUGCCAUUGUGGAAAGUUUUUCGGUGUGGGAUGAGCUCGCGGCCUAUCAGCUUGUUGGUGGGGUAAUGGCCUACCAAGGCGUCGACGGGUAGCCGGCCUGAGAGGGUGUACGGCCACAUUGGGACUGAGAUACGGCCCAGACUCCUACGGGAGGCAGCAGUGGGGAAUAUUGCACAAUGGGCGCAAGCCUGAUGCAGCGACGCCGCGUGGGGGAUGACGGCCUUCGGGUUGUAAACUACUUUCGCUAGGGACGAAGCGAAAGUGACGGUACCUGGAGAAGAAGCACCGGCUAACUACGUG